ACUUCAUGAAAGAGGAGUCUCAGGCUGGCUUGGCUGAAAGCUGCUGUCGAGAACUUUGGCACAUACUGGAGCACUCCAAAGGGGCAGUCCAUCCAGUCCUACUCAACUCGAAGGAUGGUGGUUGGUAUGAGGAGCACUGAAGGUGGCAGGAUUAAGAAGAGGGAGGGAUUCCCAAGGAAAAGAUUACAUGGCAUAUUUAUCCCCCAGGAAGUGACUGACCUUCUUACAAAACCAAAGCCAUUGCAUACAAUGAAAGAACUUUCCCACCGAGGUUCUCAGAUCAUUUUAGAAUAGAGGAACACAGG